rnacentral:rRNA from 1 species
UAGGGAAUCUUCGGCAAUGGACGAAAGUCUGACCGAGCAACGCCGCGUGAGUGAAGAAGGUUUUCGGAUCGUAAAACUCUGUUGUUAGAGAAGAACAAGGACGUUAGUAACUGAACGUCCCCUGACGGUAUCUAACCAGAAAGCAACGGCUAACUACGUGCCAGCAGCCGCGGUAAUACGUAGGUGGCAAGCGUUGUCCGGAUUUAUUGGGCGUAAAGCGAGCGCAGGCGGUUUCUUAAGUCUGAUGUGAAAGCCCCCGGCUCAACCGGAGAGGGUCAUUGGAAACUGGGAGACUUGAGUGCAGAAGAGGAGAGUGGAAUUCCAUGUGUAGCGGUGAAAUGCGUAGAUAUGUGGAGGAACAACAGUGGCGAAGGCGGCUCUCUGGUCUGUAACUGACGCUGAGGCUCGAAAGCGUGGGGAGCAAACAGG